UGUUCUUUCUUUGUAUAUGAUGGCAUUUUCGUAGGCAGAUUGUCUGAGCUCUUCUAAUUUGUGGAUGUCAAGGAUACGUUUCUCACCAGCUGUCAAGUAAUCCAAAUUCAAAGUUUUGAUGGCCCAAUAGGCCUUAUGUUCCAAUUCAAAAGGUAAGUGACAUGAUUUUCCAUAGACCAGUUGAUAAGGGGUUGUUCCUAUAGGAGUUUUGAAAGCGGUUCUAUAGGCCCAUAAUGCUUCUUGAAGUUUCUGUGACCAAUCCUUUCUAGAUAUAGAGACAGUCUUCUCG
rnacentral:lncRNA from 1 species